UACAGAGGUCUCAAGCGUUGUUCGGAUUCAUUGGGCGUAAAGGGCGCGUAGGCGGCGCGGUAAGUCGGGUGUGAAAUCCCGGGGCUUAACUCCGAAACUGCAUUCGAUACUGCCGUGCUUGAGGACUGGAGAGGAGACUGGAAUUUACGGUGUAGCGGUGAAAUGCGUAGAUAUCGUAAGGAAGACCAGUGGCGAAGGCGGGUCUCUGGACAGUUCCUGACGCUGAGGCGCGAAAGUCAGGGGAGCAAACGGG
rnacentral:rRNA from 1 species